rnacentral:tRNA from 2 species
UGGGGUGUAACUCAGUUGGUAGAGUGCUUGCCUUGCAUGCACAAGGCCCUGGGUUCAAUUCCCAGCACCACAA